rnacentral:rRNA from 1 species
UACGGGGGGGGCAAGCGUUGUUCGGAAUUACUGGGCGUAAAGGGCGCGUAGGCGGUGCCCUAAGUCGGAUGUGAAAACUCUGGGCUCAACCCAGAGCCUGCAUCCGAAACUGGAGUGCUAGAGUUCUGGAGGGGGUAGCGGAAUUCCUGGUGUAGCGGUGAAAUGCGUAGAUAUCAGGAGGAACACCGGUGGCGAAGGCGGCUACCUGGACAGAAACUGACGCUGAGGCGCGAAAAGCUAGGGGAGCAAACAGG